GAAACGUAGCGUUUUGUGGUUCAUCCGAAAUUUGGGCUUCACCGUUCCCUUACUUCCUUACAGAACUGAAUCAGCCGUUAUGUCUUUUCAUCAUCUGGAAAACUACGGCUUCUCUUCUCAUCUCUAAACCUCCCCUGUCGUUAUCUCUUCACCUCCGACUCGGUAGAUCUGCCCAGAUCAUUGUUGAUCGUCUCCUCCAUUUUUUGGGACUCGAAAAACAUCAAGAAGCAAGUUGAAUUCAUGGGAAUCAUUCUGCUCCUCCUUGAUGAGAAGAUAUUGUAACCAGAAGCGUUUUUUUUUUGCGGCUAGGGGCGGAUUGUAACCAGAUGCUCCCGUAAGCAUCGGUGGUCACAUCUUUAUAGCCCUUCUGUACGACAAGGGUCCUGUAAGUAGUGGUGGCUACAACGUACACGCCAUGGGUGAGAGCUCUUCUGUUGGCGGAGCAGGACACCAACUGAACCUCAUAACAGCUGGAUCUGUGACGGUUGCAACCGCAUCUUCCUCCACUCCAAACAUCGGUGGUAUUGAUUCUCCCUUUUAAGACGAAUCAGGUUACUCUGGGAUCUCAACCCAUGGCGAAAGAAACAGAUUAUGCCUUAAAUGACUUUAAUAUAUUCAAGUGGAUGGAUUGGAUUACGUAUGGUUAAAAGACUGCAGACAUAGAUGAGAAAGCUAUCACGACAGAAAACCCUGAAGAUGUGGCUGUGGCCUUCGCUGAAGCAGCCAAGAUGAGAUAAUACUGAAACUGUGAGGUGAAAGCAUGUUUUCUCUGGAUCCUCAACCACUCUUAUCGGUUGUUGUGUACAAAGGUGACAUCAGACAAAAACCAACCCGCAAGGAAAAAGCUCCCAAAUAUACUUUUAAAGAUUCUUUUGUGAUUCUAAACCAUGGCUGUGGACAAGCUGUAGAAAAUUGUGACAUACUUCCCAGAUGGAUAGAGUGAAGAGAGGGGAUAAUGUCUACUACAUGGCCUAUGCAAUGGGAAGGAUAACCUAUAUGCUGAAAACGUCAAGCCAGAGAGAUGGCUCAAGGACACCAUCCAAAUUCAUAAGCUUUCAUGUUUGUGCACUUUUUCCCGGACAAUUAAGCUAUGUAUGUACCUAAGAGUAUAAGACGUUGUCUUUUGAUUAUAUUUUUUUCUUUGACUGUGUAUGUAAGCUGGACCAAGAAUUUGUCUUGGUAAAAGAACUUCGCAUAUGAGCAAAUGUACUACAUAUUUGUCAACA